GCCAGAGAAUGGGAGAGCUAAGGAGAUAAUCCCAGUUAUAAGAAGGCUGCUCCAGGCUCUGGUCUGUGUUUCUGUGGAUAUUACUGCAUGUGGAGCUAUGGAAUAGAAGCAUUACCAGCAGCAAUGCCUGGUUAAAUGAGCUUUCCCAGCUACAAGGUAGAGGAGCUGCUGUGCACUCUGUACGCCCUCAUGUUGUAAGUGAGCAGGAUUUUAGCUGGAUUUUGCCCUGCCCUUCUGCCUGCACUUGCCUCCUGCUCACCAGCUGGACUCUGACCCACAGCCUGCCUUUCAGCAUCUUCUCUGAGGUACGGGACAGCGUCAUCUCCAGACCCAAAGGGCAGGCUCUGCAGCGUUGAUACUUUCCACACAGUAGUUGUCAACGUGGGCAUCCCUGGUUCUGCUUGCCAUAACCUUCCAGGCCACCAAGGAGAUGUGAGGCUCUGGUCGGGACCUGCCAGCCUCAUGCAAUCAACUGCCACUUGCCAGGACUCGCACCCAGCUUCCUAGGGUAUUGAGCUGCUGCUCGGGAUCCUGACCGCUCCUGGUUCCUCACUGUGCUGUUGGCAGUGGAGAAUCGAUGUCCAUUUUAGGACACUGGGCAGAGCCAAGUCCAUUACCAUCCUCUGUGCCCUUGUCAGACUGGGGGACCAGGCUGGACCCCCCCUCUGAGGGGGUUCUGCGUGACUGAGGGACAGGUUUGGGGCUAUCCCUAGUUGCUCCGGUGGGAAGAGCUGCCUCAUUCCUCCUCUCCGGCUGGAAACUGGAUCACUGCCUGAAGCUGGGGAUGGUGCUGCGUGGACCCACGGCCAGGGCCGGCAGCCUGGUGGCAGAGCACUAGCAGACCCAGAGGACCAUCGCGGGGCUUAGUGCUGUCUGGGGGGCUGCUGGUCUCCCCGCAGCGGCUGCGCUCUGGGGAUGUAGGUGCCAGCUGCAGGAGGGGUGCCGGGAGCGAUGGGCCGGCUGGACGACCACGCCAAGAAGAGGAUCGUGGAGCUGCGCAGGGCUGGGCUCAGCUUCCGCAAGAUCAAGAAGGUGCUGGAGCUGGACGACAUACGGGUGACGCCGCAGGCCGUGUACCUUUUCCUCAAGAGGAAGAGCGUGGAGCCGGGCUCGGCAGCAGCUGGCUGGGAUGGGGACCAGCCCUGGACCCCGCUACAGGGGUGUGAGACUGAGCCACCCAAGCCGUUGGGUGCCCAGCCCCCCGCAAUGUCCAGCGGGGGCCCUGUGGGCAGCCAAGACACCAAGGAGGGCAUCCAGAUCGUUAGCGUGGCCUCGCUCUGCAAGGAUGGCGGACAGCUCGGGGAGGCCCUGCCCGUGGGACCGCCCUCUGGGAACGGUGACGACAGCUCCACAGGCACCCCCUCAGCUUCGGGGGGCCGAGCCACUCCCGCACAGCCCCUGCCCAGCCGAGAGCGUCUGGUCACACCCCCCACCAGGAGCCCAGCCCUGAUGGUGAAGAAGAUGAUUGUGGACAGAGCUCUCCUCCCGCAGAAAAAGGUCAAAGAUGCCAGCACUCAGACUGCCCUGCCAAACCCCCUGAGUCCUGGAAAUCAAAACCUUGCUUGGGGUGGACCAGUGCUUCCCCCGGCUCCCAGCUCCCACGCCAUUGCCGAAAAGCUGGAUGCUGUACAGACAGAGAUCCAGAAGCUGAGCCAGGCCCUGCACGUGGUGCUGGAGAGGCAGUGCCGCCUGGAGCGCCAGCAGGAGCACCAGCAGCGGCUGCAGCAGGAGGUGCUGAUGACGCUGCAGCAGCUCAGCUCCACCGUGAGCCACGGCACUGUGCCAGCAAACCAACCCUGCGCCCCCUUCAGCAGUAUGGCCGAGCCCUCGCCCACCCUGCCAAACUUCAGCCAGUUCAAGAUGGAGCUCAUCUGACCUCACGCGACAUCAGCGUGCUCUAGCAGUGCUGCACUGAUGGCAGGAGGAAGCUGUGAAGAAGAACCACCUCUCAGAGGCUGUGGCAGUUGCCUAAGGAUUAUGUGGGGCACCCGGCAGAGAAGGUCACUGAUGCCUCAUGUUUUCAGCCCUGAUGACUGAAAGGAGCUGCCAGGUACAAGAGGCAGGGCAAUGGAAAGCUGAAGCCUUGCUUCUCCUGUGCUGCCCAUCCCAGCUGGUGCUGGACCUGGCUGGUGGCCCACGGACUUCAGGAGCGCAGGUAGGCUGCCUGCAAGUAGAAGAUGCAACUAGGAGAGACACAGCAGGGGGGUGGGUCUCAAAGAAAAUGCGAGGCUUCCUGUCAUGAGGGUCAGUGCUGUGAUGAUGAAUCACAGAAAUGCUUCGUGCCCUCCCUCUGCAAAGCCUUGUUCAGUAAAAAUCUAUAUACACCAUAGUUCAGAAACAGCGUGAGAUCUCUUUCUUCAUUUUACCUACCCAUCGCCCCAGCAGUGAGCAGGCUGGAUCUGUCUUGGGCACUGCCACCAUGCACAGAGCUGUGCAGGGUGCUCAAACCUGUGAGGUGAGACCACCACUCCACACACGAAGGAUGCUGCUGGAGGCCUAGCAUCAGUUGCUGCACUCUUAGGGAUAUAUCACACUUGUGUAGGAAACAAUCUUUUACUGAGCAGAUUCCACCUAGGUCCUCUUCCUCAUCCCAAAUUCUCAGCAGAUCUGGAGUCUGGCACUGCUCCUGCCCACUGUCUGGCCAGAUACAGGAUACUGGCAAGACCGUACAAGUAAGAGUUGCACCUGGGCAUGAGCCGGGUAUUCAUCUCUCCUCUAACCCCUUUUUCUGGGCAGGAUAUCCUCCUGGUUGUGGUCCCCAGCAGGUCUCCCUAGUGCAGGCUGCUGCUGGUGCAGACCUGCUCAAGCAGAGAGGGGCACAAUGCUGAGAACCAACCCCCUUGCCCAGACAAGAAGGGCUCAGAGGAGACUGUUGUACUUUCACUGCAGCAGUGAAGUCCAGAGGGACUCGAAACUAGACUUGCCUGCUGGGUGGAAAGUUCUGCUGGGGGGGGGUGGCCUUGGUUCAUCACCCAGCAGUGAAUUUUGAGAGGAGACAAAGUGUCCUUCCUCUGCAUCAGCCAAGCAGGCUUCUUUCUUUCUGGUCAUCACACUUAGCACAAGCUUAGCCUAGAAGAAGUCCCUAGCCUGUUUCUUGAAACUCCUUGAGUCUGAGGUAAAAAUUUUGAAGUGUAAAAACAAUUCAGGUAUUUGUAUACACACACACAGAGCUGUAUACACACACAUGCAUAUAUACACUUGGGCAUUCUGCAGGUUCUUGCAGCUAUCCUGGUGGGUGGAGGAGCUGGACAACAAAUCUGACCCCCAUAGACGUACAUGCCUGGCCCCAGUGCUGUUAGACCCUGCCGCUGUGUCCAGAAGCAUUAGAAGUCUGCUGCAAUCUCCCCGCGGUCAUUCAUUUCGAUGUUGGUGUAAUUUUGGGGAUGUCUGAAAAGCAACAGACACAGAAAAAUGCAAGAUCAGUCGCUUUGCUCUUUUGCACAAGCCAGUUAAUCUGUAUCUCAGCUUUGCACUUUAAAUGAAGAGGCUGGAUGACCAGCCUUCAGCAGGCACAGAGUUUCCUAAGGUCUCUGUUAGUGUUGUGAGGAAAACCAGGAGCAGAACACCUGCCAUCACCUGGCACAUGUACAUCAACUUAAAAUCACCCUGGAUUCUGGAAGAGCUUCCCUAAAUCUGACUUACUUUUAAAAAUUCCUUUAAAAAAAUAGAUACUGAGUUUUGUGUUCCCCAAAUGUAUUUUAAGAACUUCCCUCAUUUCUAAUUCUUGCCGAUCCAAUGAUGAAAGAAGAUCAGUAAAAAUUAAUGGAAAUAAAUCACCUGGGCUGGUUAAAUAACCCAUCCACUGUAACAUUUAUUUCAGAGAAACAUACAGCCUGAGUGUUAAGCUGCUGUUUGCCUGCUGACAACAUCAGGGAAUGCCAAGUAAUUAUUUAAAGCGGUGUCAUGUUAUAAUAUGAAAACUGUUUCCCAUCAAGCUAAACUCUCCAUUGCUUCCACCCUGCUCUAUGGAAGAGCUCUUCCCCGUGGCCAAAGCAUCAUAUCUCACUGCCCCUUGUGUGCCAUGAGCCUUCAGCUUUCUGCUGUCCCACCACAGCAUGUUGUAAGUAAAACUGAUGGCCUUUACACUGUGCCCACUGACAUGCCUAGGAUUAGCCAUGGUUUUAUUUGUGAUUAUCAUAACCUCCUGCAGAACCUGCAGUCUGCUGCAUCAAAAGCAAAGGGGCUUUGCUGCAAACAUUAGAAGCAACAUAUUGGAGUGUUUGGAUGUAGCAUCUGAGGUAGGUGUUCACCCAAGUGAAGGAGCAGGUCCCUGCACAGAGUUUAGAGAGGAAGCACUGGGGAAGGAGAGGGUGAGAGAUGCAAGGCAGAUGGGAAAGUGGUUUCUCACCUUUUGAUGAAGUAAAAUGCCAGGCUGACCACGAAGAACAUGAGCAGGACAGAUCCCAUGACAAACAGGGCAAUUUCCCAGCCCUGGAAGGAAGCUGAGGGUUCAAAGGCAGAGAUGGAACACUGUAGCCAUGACCUUUCCCUAGCACAGCGUACCACCAGGAGGCCAUAGAAUCACAGUCACAGAAUGGGUUGGGUUGGGCUGGCCUGGGUUGGGUUGGAAG
ensembl:lncRNA